GUUGGCACUGUUCCAGACAGCCGCUCGCCUGCGUCCGGGUUUUGCCAUGUCGUCGUGCCGGGGCGGUCUGAGUGGUGUUGUAUACGCGUUUCAUAUUUCCGGUCUGCAACGUGCUUACGUGGGAUAGCACCGGGAUCAAGGGAAACGAUGUAGCCUCCGUUGAUUUCCAGACUGCGAUGUGCUUGUGAAGAAGCCCCCCGUUGGGAUCAAUGGAACGGAUGCGGUCUUGGUUGGGUGCAAGUACCACUGUUUAGGGUUAGUCUUAGGCCACAGCAGUUUUGAUAUGCCGAUAAAGCUUUGCAGGUUAUGGUAUCUAGCAUCAGGAGGAGAUUGGGAAAAGGAACGCAGCUAACAGGUGAGCGUGGAAGUCCGAGAGGAGAGUUUUCUGAUCGCACUCGUUUGCCUCUCCCAUAGAUACCUAUAAACGGUAACUCCGUCGUUCGUUCUGCUAGAUUGAAGAUACAGGUAAUUGAUUACUCGAGCUUUGUGUCAUGUACGCACAUAGAUGUGAACACUGCCUCAUUGCUUGCUUUGAGAGAAAUAAACGUUUCGAAAUAAUUCA